CUGCAGGAGCCUCCCGGGCUAAUCUGAGUACAGUGCAUGAGGAACUAAGCCCCAAAGCUGCUGCUAGAUUCUUUUUGCCGUUUGUGUUGCAGGCUCGCCUUGUUCCUUCGGCUUUUCUGUGUCAAAAAAGCGGCUAAAUCU
rfam:Eutrema salsugineum unplaced genomic scaffold scaffold_5, whole genome shotgun sequence.